GACGAACGCUGGCGGCGUGCUUAACACAUGCAAGUCGAGCGGUAAGGCCCUUUCGGGGGUACACGAGCGGCGAACGGGUGAGUAACACGUGGGUGACCUGCCCUUAGCUCUGGGAUAAGCCUGGGAAACUGGGUCUAAUACCGGAUAUGACUCCAUGACGCAUGUUGUGGGGUGGAAAGCCUUGUGCGGCUAGGGAUGGGCCCGCGGCCUAUCAGCUUGUUGGUGGGGUGAUGGCCACCAAGGCGACGACGGGUAGCCGGCCUGAGAGGGCGACCGGCCACACUGGGACUGAGACACGGCCCAGACUCCUACGGGAGGCAGCAGUGGGGAAUCUUGCGCAAUGGGCGAAAGCCUGACGCAGCGACGCC
rnacentral:rRNA from 1 species